rnacentral:sRNA from 1 species
GAGGUAUGGGAUCUAAUUCUUAUAACCCCAGUACUUAAAACUGUCUCUGGCCUAUAAAAGUACUCAGAAUAUGUUUGUUAUAUGAGACAUUACCUUAAGAUUAAAAGUCAUCUGUGAUGAUUCGUUUAUUUUUAGGUAAGCUCUUAUUAGUUAAGGUGUACACUUGGAAAUACAUAUUUUAAAUUUAAUAUUUUUAAAAAAGUAUUUUCUGUUAGACCAUAGAAAUGAUUGAGAAAGAGCAGAGAGAAGUGGAACGACGGCCAAUCACCAAAAUAACUCAUAAAGGUGAAAUAGAAAUUGAGAGUGAUGCCCCAAUGAAAGAACAGGAAGCAGCCAUGGAGAUUCAGGAACCAGCCGCCAAUAAGUCAUUGGAGAAGCCAGAAGGAUAUGAAAAACAAAAAGAGGAGGUUGACUCUAUGUCUAAAGAUACCACUAGUCAACACAGACAGCAUCUUUUUGAUCUCAACUGCAAAAUCUGCAUAGGUCGAAUGGCACCACCUGUAGAUGAUCUUUCUCCAAAAAAAGUAAAAGUUGUUGUAGGAGUAGCUCGCAAACAUUCAGACAAUGAAGCAGAAAGUAUAGCAGAUGCAUUGUCUUCAACUUCAAAUA